rnacentral:rRNA from 1 species
UACGUAGGGUGCGAGCGUUGUCCGGAAUUACUGGGCGUAAAGCGUGCGCAGGCGGUUCGUUAUGUCCGAUGUGAAAGCCCCGAGCUCAACUUGGGAAUGGCAUUGGAAACUGGCGGGCUGGAGUGUGGCAGAGGGGGGGUGGAAUUCCACGUGUAGCAGUGAAAUGCGUAGAGAUGUGGAGGAAUACCGAUGGCGAAGGCAGCCCCCUGGGAUAACACUGACGCUCAUGCACGAAAGCGUGGGGAGCAAACAGG